AUUGAACGCUGGCGGCAGGCCUAAAACAUGCAAGUCGAACGAGUGGCGGACGGGUGAGUAAUGUCUGGGAAACUGCCUGAUGGAGGGGGAUAACUACUGGCACCGGUAGCUAAUACCGCAUACCAUCAGAUGUGCCCAGAUGGGAAUAGCUAGUUGGUGGGGUAACGGAUAACCAAGGCGACGAUCACUCGCUGGUCUGAGAGGAUGACCAGCCACACUUGAACUGAGACACGGUCCAGACUCCUACGGGAGGCAGCAGUGGGGAAUAUUGCACAAUGGGCGCAAGCCUGAUGCAGCCAUGCCGCGUGUAUGAAGAAGGCCUUCGGGUUGUAAAGUACUUUCAGCGGGGAGGCGUUACCCGCAGAAGAAGCACCGGCUAACUCCGUGCCAGCAGCCGCGGUAAUUC
rnacentral:rRNA from 1 species